GAUGAGAACGUAGCGAAAUGCGAUAAGUAAUGUGAAUUGCAGAAUUCAGUGAAUCAUCGAGUCUUUGAACGCACAUUGCGCCCCCUGGUAUUCCGGGGGGCAUGCCUGUCCGAGCGUCAUUGCUGCCCUCAAGCACGGCUUGUGUGUUGGGCCGUCGUCCCCCUCCUAGGGGACGGGCCCGAAAGGCAGCGGCGGCACCGCGUCCGGUCCUCGAGCGUAUGGGGCUUCGUCACCCGCUCCGUAGGCCCGGCCGGCGCUUGCCGACGACCAUCAAUCUCUUUCUCCAGGUUGACCUCGGAUCAGGUAGGGAUACCCGCUGAACUUAAGCAUAUCAAUAAGCGGAGGA
rnacentral:misc_RNA from 1 species